UACGAAGGGGGCUAGCGUUGUUCGGAAUCACUGGGCGUAAAGCGCACGUAGGCGGAUUGCUAAGUCAGGGGUGAAAUCCUGGAGCUCAACUCCAGAACUGCCUUUGAUACUGGCGACCUUGAGUCCGGGAGAGGUGAGUGGAACUGCGAGUGCAGAGGUGAAAUUCGUAGAUAUUCGCAAGAACACCAGUGGCGAAGGCGGCUCACUGGCCCGGUACUGACGCUGAGGUGCGAAAGCGUGGGGAGCAAACAGG
rnacentral:rRNA from 1 species